GGAUGGAUGGCAGAGUGGUCGAAUGCGUCUGAUUUGAAAUCAGAUGAAUGUUACACAUUCCCUGAGUUCAAAUCUCAGUCCAUCUU
rnacentral:tRNA from 1 species